UAUCUCUGUAGAGUCUGCAUAUCAAUAAGCGGAGGAAAAGAAACUAACUAAGGAUUCCCUUAGUAACGGCGAGUGAAGCGGGAAGAGCUCAAAUUUGAAAUCUUCAAGGUUUUACCUUGACGAAUUGUAGUUUAAAGAAGUGUUUUCUGUUGAAGUUUUGGUAAAAGUUCUUUGGAAUAGGACAUCAUAGAGGGUGAGAAUCCCGUAUUUGACCAGUUAUUUUCAGCCUGUGUGAUACACUUUCAAAGAGUCGGAUUGUUUGGGAAUGCAGUCCAAAAUGGGUGGUAAAUUUCAUCUAAAGCUAAAUAUUGGCGAGAGACCGAUAGCGAACAAGUACCGUGAGGGAAAGAUGAAAAGAACUUUGAAAAGAGAGUUAAACAGUACGUGAAAUUGUCAAAAGGGAAGCGUUUGACACCAGUGUUGUUUUCUCGAAAAUCAAUUAAAAAUGGCAUGAUUUUGUGUUGUAUUGACUUUAUCAAGCUUUCUGCACUCUUUUCUUGUCUUUUUUAAUGCACUUUUCGUUUAACAAGUCAACAUCAAUUUCUUUUGUUGUAAAAGGGUCAUUGGAAGGUGGCUUUCUUUUCGGAGAAAGUGUUUAUAGCCUUUGGCCUCUGCAAUCGGAGAGAUUGAGGUCUGCAGCGUAGAUCCUUCGGGGUUAGAUACAUUUGUGCUAAGUUAUAGCCUUUCAUAGACAACUUGUUGACUAUGAUCAGUCAUGUAGCUUACUCGCUUAUGCUAUUUUACCUACGCUUAGGAUGUUGAUAGUCACAGCGUGUAC
rnacentral:rRNA from 1 species